AAAAUAAUCACCAAGAGAAACAUGGCACGUGUGCCAUUUAAACCCUAGUGCAAAAGAGGAAAGCAAUUUGGGCUAAUUCCAUGGUUUACUAUUUCGUGCUUGGAAAUUGAUCAUGGUCCAUCGUACGAAGUUCUUUACGUUUUUGGGCAUGUACUCCGACUCUGUAACUACAGGUUUUACAGAACUUUAAGCUUGAUAGCAAACGAUAUUAUUAUCCUGGAAUCAUUGUUAUCGAUUUAUUGGAUAAGAUAUUCUUUGAAUCAUAGUAAACAUAUAUUUAUUGUCCUGAGACAUUUGUACAUGUGUUCAAGAUUUUUAACAAUUUAAUGGUUAUGAGUUGCCCUCUACUUUGA